UGSGGCGGGCUAMCRUGCAGUCGAGCGGUAGCACAGGGAGCUUGCUCCUGGGUGACGAGCGGCGGACGGGUGAGUARUGUCUGGGAAACUGCCUGAUGGAGGGGGAUAACUACUGRAAACGGUAGCUAAUACCGCAUAACGUCGCAAGACCAAAGAGGGGGACCUUCGGGCCUCUUGCCAUCAGAUGUGCCCAGAUGGGAUUAGCUAGUAGGKGGGGUAACGGCUCACCUAGGCGACGAUCCCUAGCUGGUCUGAGAGGAUGACCASCCACACUGGAACUGAGACACGGYCCASACUCCUACGGGAGGCAGCAGUGGGGAAUAUUGCACAAUGGGCGCAAGCCUGAUGCASCCAUGCCGCGUGUAUGAARAAGGCCUUCGGGUUGUAAAGUACUUUCAGCGAGGARGAAGGCRUCRUACUUAAUACGUGCGGMGAUUGACGUUACUCGCARAARAAGCACCGGCUAACUCCGUGCCAGCAGCCGCGGUAAUAA
rnacentral:rRNA from 1 species